rnacentral:lncRNA from 1 species
GGAAGAAGAUGAUGUUGAAGGAAUUCCUGACGAGAUUUCCCGACUUCUUGAGCAAGAAAAGAAGAUCACUCAGUUGCAUCUCGAGAAUCAGCAGAACGGCCAACUGGGGCAUUAAAACAAACAAACAAAAAAAAAAGAAAAAGAGGAGGGUGCAAAAUAAAAAAAAAAUCAAAUCAAAAUCAAAAUCAAAAGAAGGAAAAGAAAGAAAGAAACAAAAGAGAAUAGCACCCUCAAAGUCCCAAGUUGGCUGAUGCUGAAUUCGAUCGAAAAGA